rnacentral:lncRNA from 1 species
CUAUAGUUACUAACCCAGAGAUAGAAUUUCUAGAAGAAGGUAUCCUCCGCGUCUAUCCUAUUAGUCUCAAAGUCAGCCUAGUCGACUUGUUCAAGUAGCAUUUUGAAUUACUGAUGGAGGUCAGUCUAGUGUUAGUGAUCUCCCUGGUAAGGGCAGUGGUCAUUCUUUGAGAGGUUCAUCAUCUGGUUAUUCUACUCGUGGU